CAAAGUGCAGGGAUCAUAGGUAUGCGCCACCUCACCUGGCCUAUACUUUAAUUCGCUUUCAGCAAUGAAAAGAAAUGGGCCAGUUUAAAGAUGUUGUGAAAUACAAAAAUAGGGAUGGGGCUGCAUGACUGAUGGACACCAUUUUACCUUUUUCUUAGGAUAUCACAUUAAAGACCCUCAAACAAUAACAUACCCUAAAAUGGCUUGGUGUCAUCUUCUACAAAAAGUCAUUCUCCAGCUGGGAUUGAGAACAAGGGGGAGUUGGCCAUAGAGCCAGGUGACCAAAGAUGGGAGACAAAGGGUGGGCUGUGAUUCCCAGAGCUCCAAGCCUUAUCCUGUCACACCAACUAUUACUGAUGAACAGGCGAGUAGAAACUACUGUAGAGCUUUACAACUCCAAAAAUAAUUUCUUUCCUUUGGUUUCAUUACAAUUUAGGGAUUUCCAUGGGGAUGACGCACACCUGUGGAACUCAUCCACCAUGUGCCCAUAAGGGGAAGAUGGGUGUAAGCUCUGUUGAUGCAUUAAAUUCGAUUACCCACGAGCAGUGCUUAGACCACAUUUGCUUGUCAACUGCCAAAAUGCCUUCUCUAAAUUACUCUGUAAUGUACCACCCUCUGUUCUCCUUAAACAUCAGUACACAAAGUCACUCAGUGAAGGGAUUUUCGUAUCUUUUACAAAUCUAUGAAGGACAUCAUCCACUCUUGGUGUUUCUCAUAUAAGAAGCCGUCUUAUAAAAGGAUCCAUUUCUUAAGUUCUUCUCUGAAUUUAGAGCCAAAGCAACAAUCUUAUUCCCCUGAAGAAUUAUGUACUUUUUAUGGUCAUUUAAAUACAAAAAUCUUUGACAGACAGGAAGCUUGGGUACUCUCUACUUGCUUCCUUAGGGAUAAAUGGGGACAUAUAAA